UACGGAGGAUCCGAGCGUUAUCCGGAUUUAUUGGGUUUAAAGGGUGCGCAGGCGGGAGACUAAGUCGGUGGUGAAAUUUUGCAGCUCAACUGUAAAAGUGCCUUCGAAACUGGUUUCCUUGAGUGUAGAUGAAGUAGGCGGAAUUUGUGGUGUAGCGGUGAAAUGCAUAGAUAUCACGAGGAACUCCGAUUGCGCAGGCAGCUUACUAAACUACUACUGACGCUCAUGCACGAAGGCGUGGGGAUCAAACAGGAUUAGAUACCCGGGUA
rnacentral:rRNA from 1 species